GCCUUCUCUCCGCUCCUCUCCCCCAGAAACGCCGCCGCCGCAGCCGCCGUCUCCUCAUCUCGUUUCUUUCAGCCGCCGCCAGAUCUGGGGAGCCACCGGGAGGAGAACAACCGGCCAGACGCCAUCCCCGUCGACCUAACCCGCAUCUCCCUCGCGCCCAUCGUCCCCUCUUGGCGCCCCCGCCUCUCCUCUCCCCCAUUCUCCUGCCGCAUCCCAUCCCCUGCUCUGCCCUUGCUCCUCCGCCGUUCGAGUUGAGUCGUUGCUGCAGAGAGCGCCGCCUCCACUCUCCCAGGCCUUCUCCCCAUCCGCGACGUCGGCACACGGUGCGGGCAAGCUGUGGCGUGUCGUCGCCGUGCUGGGUUGGCCGGCCGGUGCCGCGCGGAUCCGGUUGGACGAGGUCGUUGGCGACCUGCCGCGGGAGGGGGACAGCGGGAUCUGCGCCAGGAGGUCCAGGGCACGCUGCUGCCGCUCGUGCAGCAGAACGACGGCCUCACCGACGCGUCCGGGGAGAACUGCAUUGGCCUGGUCUUGUAAUGGGCCGCAGCCCGCACCCGAGGUGCAGAGCAGCCAGAACCAGUGAUGAUCGUGAGAUCCUGCGGACGACGAUGGAGCUUCUUAAUCAGUUGGAUGGAUUUUAUGAUCUUAGCAAGACUUUUGGAAGGUUGAAGGUGGAAUCGAACUCCGAGCUCGAGGUUGCGCUGGUGCAGUGGUGGCUGCGAUCGGGCCCGAUCUAGGAAAAAUCUUCCUCGUUUUUGGUCUGCAUGGCGAUGAUCUGUUUCUUCAGGAUCCGCUUGUUGCCAGAGCCGGCUCGGGACGCCUCCUAGACGACGACACAAGCUUGAAGCGAGCGGAACACUGAAGGAGGAUCUCGGGGAUGAAGGAAGCGUCAGCGAUGACCUCAGGCGAGAGGCAUGUAAUGCAGGUAAUACUAGAGCUUCCAGCCUCCUCAGGCUGGCGUGGGAACAUCAGUAAGGGCUUGGAGCCUGUCAAAGAGGAGGCAAAGAGUACACUGCUGAUGAAACAUGAGGCCGAGACAAAAACAAAUGCCUAUUGGCUCAGUUUGCUAACCCAUAUGCAGUCUGCAUUAGUGCCGAGAAAGGUAUUCUAUAUGUGAGGCUUAUAAGUGCAUAUUCUAUGGGAAACUAGAACAGAAAUAAACCAACUCUCCAAGCCCUGGUUUCAUGGACACUCUGUGUGCCACUUCUACUGUGGUGAACUAUACGUAGUUCCUCUGACUAGAUUUUCUUGAUGCAAGUUUUCUAGACGAACUUUUGGAAGCCUGCUGACCCGCGACCAUCUCGAUGAUAGUUAUGAUCACGUAAUUCUGGGUUGAGAAGUUUGUUGAUAUAUCAAAAAGUUCCAGGGGUUGCCAUAAGGAAAACAAAUAAAAUCUAUGUUCUAUGCUCUUGGUUAUACUCCAUCUGGCUGCAAGUAUAAUUCUUUGGCUUGGCUGACAGUUGAGCAUGCACGUAGGGCAGUCAGUGUGUUUACUGAAUUAAGUAUAACUAAACCUUCUGCUUUUCUGCCCCCCGCACCACCACCACCAAAGAAAACACAAUGAAUGCAUAUGAAGAUAAUACUGACAUGGCCAGGAAUCUUCCUCUGUAAUUCGGGCUCUAGGGCUUUUCUUGACCAUGCUGUAUACACGAAAUUUUUAACAACAGUUUGCUUUACAUGUAUUUGCUAAUGUAUGAUUAAAUCUGUAUAAGUUGUAUUUUUUAGUGAUAUUAUUAUUUGUUGGAUCCCAAUUCAUAUCUUGUCCUUCUUUAGUCUUUUUACUACUAUUUUCCAUACUUGUAUCAUUUACUCUACCGUUGUUUCUUCACUGGCCACACCCGUAUUGGUGCCGUCGCUCACGCUCCACCUGAACAGCGGCAACUAGGAGCUGCCGCGUGGGAACUACGUGUUCGAGGAGCAGGUCAUGUGCCUGGUGCUAGACGUGAUGGCAUGGGAUCAGACCGUCAUUACCACCAGCAAAAGAACGCGCAAGUCCAUCUAAGGCCUCGACAUGACGUGUUGCCCUUUGCGCCAGCGUAGUGCAACAAGCUUGCAGCGUUGCUAUAUUAUUUUAUAAAGAGAUAGAACUUGUAGUACUGAUCAUGUGAAAUGCGCCGAUGUGGUAGGCAACGAUCUUUUCUGAAUGAAAUGUAUUUUAGAUUGUAAAGCUGACCAAAAAGGGCUGUUGA